CAUCGGGGUGGGGGGUGGCUGACGCGGACCACCGGGCUCGGCCCGUGGCUUCUGGAGGAUGGAGUCGCAGUGACGGCCCCGGCCUGUGUUGGGGAGACGGACUUCCUCUGGGUCCCGCCCCUACGGGUGCGUGCGGAGGCCCCCCGCUUCCCACGCAUCCAGGAAAGCCGGCCCGGUUGGGGAGAAAUCGCUCUCACCUAGAGGUGGGUCGGCGGGGACGGCCUCCAGCCUGGGCUCCGGAACCCCUUGCAGGGCCAGGCGAGGCCGGAGCUCGGGCUGGAAGCGGCUUGCAGCGCCGUCCCGGAGCGCGCCGGGCUCACACUGCGUCCCUGGCCCCGGUGGCCUGGUGCGCGGAGGCUGGUCGGUCCGUAAGCCCUGGGACCCCCACCAGCUUCCCGCAGCCCCUCGGCACAGCUCUCCAGCCGAGACUUUGAAGUCUAGACCCCCGGCAAAGCGCCCCUAGCUGACAGCACGUUGCCUACUCUGGUUUGGUAGGGGAGUACCCCAUUGCUGACAUUCUCCAAUGAGUUGUUUCCCGGCCCAGGAACCUUCUUUUUUUUAACGUAGGAUUGCGUUUUAAAGUUCCGUUUGAAAUGAAAUAUAUAUGUGAGCAAAAUACAUAUAAGAAAAAGAUUCUCCAUCCAAGGGAAAGAACACCUUGGCGACCGGCGGAAUCCCUGGAGUUUCUCUGAGUUCCCAGAGCUGCGCCCGCGGCCCGAUGCCCAUGGGCCAGGAGGGGACUCCUGGCCUCUGACCGCCUGUGGGGGAGACGAAGGGGCUUCCAGUCUCCAGGAUCCCGCAGUUUGCGCAGAAAGGCACCCGCUGGGAAAUCCCCAUUCUCUGCUCCCCACCUCCGAGGGCAGAAGAUUGUCUGAAGGUCCUGGAGCCUGGCGGAUGGGCCCCACCCUAGCGGUACUGGAGGCCUGCAGGCUGCUUUGAGACCGCAGAGAACUGUACGAUUCUGGGACCUCCCUGCCCUUGCGGGUUGUAGCUGGCGUUCACCAGAUUACUAAUUCAGGGGGAACCCCUGCGUCCACAUGCCUCUCCUGCCAGACACUCCUCCUGGCUUGCCCUCUGGCCUGGGAAGAAGGUAAACAGAUGCCCGAGAGGCCAGCUGUUCUCUGACACCUGGGCGUGCUCUCUCAGCACACUCACAUCCACACUACACUCUCGCGCACACACCGCCCCUGUGCACACGCGUACGUCUCGCACACACGUGCGCGUACAUCGCACUCAGGCGCACCCUUGAGCACCACGCAGCACGUUACACUCCCAUGUGCACAAAACAUACGUGCACACGCUUCAUCUCACAUAGCGGCCCAUGUUUACACGUGGCCCGGCGUUCUGGAGAACCUGCCUUGCCCCACGCAGCCUGGGGGCCCCUGACACAUCCCCCCCAGCCUGUCCCCAGCCAUGGAGUUCCAUCUACAGUGCUCCCAAAAGACCACGAUCCUGCUCUGCCUGAAAUCAUGAAAUAAUCAUUUUUUUUUAACACAAGGGUGUGGGGGUGUCGGGUGAGUUACAUAAAAUUGUGAAUUAGUCCCUGCUCCAAAUAAAUGCCUACUUGGGCCAGAGAACAGCAGAGAGAGAGCUGCGCGCUCCGUAAUUGUGUGCCGGGUGUCUCUCCAUUGUUCCCAGGGCCAUUAGUCCAAGGGCAAAUUAGGAAUAAUUUCUUGACAAAAAUUGACUCUUAAUUCGCCCCCACCCCCUGCCAGGCUCAGGGGGCCAAGUCCAGAGGGCAGGCAAGCAGGCCCGCCUGAAGGGGGGGCCCUGUAUCCACAGGUUUGCACUGGGCAUGAGGGGGAAGGAGGGUGAGCUGACCCAGCACCCCCUACCCUCCCUCAGCGGGAGAGCGGUGCACAACCUCCCCUCUCUUUCCAAGGAACGUACAGGUGGGGGGGAAAAAAAAAAAAAAAAAAAGACCUGUUCCCAGAAGUGCCUUAGCUGGAGGAGUUCCCCAGGCACCACUGAAGCCUCCAGGAAGCAGGGCUGGGCCCCAACACCAUCUUCCAGAAGGAGGUCUUCCACCAGUUACAGGGUGGGGGGGGGGGGGGGGUGUGGGAGGGUGCGCUGGAGGGAGCAGGGGUGUGGGGGGAAGGGCAGCCCAUCCAGCCCACCUGAGAAGCCCCCAAAUGUGGCUCCCUCACUAAGCACUCCCCAGAGCAUCCUGGAUCCCUGCCUUCCCAGGUGCUCCCUGGCUGUGGGUGGGACCCCAGGAGGUCCACUCCAAGGUGCUGCGCCAGGAAUUUGUGCCUGGACUGGAGGGUGGCCUUAGCUGCCGCAUCUUCAGCUUCCGGGGCUUCCGCUUUGUUGGGGCGACCCACUUUGGAGUGGAGAGAAAGAUGAAAAUCCCCAGGACUCCCGUCCCCCAGAGAAGGAUGCUGUUCCCGCAGAAAACAGUGCCUCCAGUCACAACGGGCCCGGUGACAGGAGAGAGGCAGCAGACACAGAAACAUGAGUAGUUGGGGCCAGGUCUGGCUGGGAGGGUCCCCCGCCACGCCUCCCCCAGGAAGUCUUCCUCCAGCAUGACCAGGCUCUGUGCCCUGGGCCAAUCCCUCCCAGAUCCCAGCUCCUGAGCCAGGGGCCUGCUCACUCGGAAACCUCCCCCACCUCCCAGGCGCAGCAGCUGACCCCUGCAGGCCACAGACAGGCUCCCAGACAGACCUGGGGAUAUGGCUGGGAGUUUCAAAAGGCAGCAAGAGCUGCUGGGGAGCCAGACUUUGAAGUUGGGUGAGCAGGCCUUCCCAGGGCCCCUCCCUCCUGGGGGGUUAAAUCUGUUGCUGGUUGGUCCGAGCAGGUCAGGAGGCUGCCCGGCCCCCUCGGCGCAGGGAAGGUGCUCGUUAAACACAAGAGGCGUAAUUUGCGGCUAAAUAUAACCCAGUGUGUUCACACGUAAAGUAUAAUUCAGGGUGCUGCUUGUGUGAGGGUAACAGGAGACCCAUCUGGGUUAAAUUGAAGUGAUUUUCAUAAAAGGGCAGGAGCGUCCUAUCAGCCAGCUUCCCCUCCCCCCCCAGAUGUUUUAUUAGUGGGAACAUGACUGGUGGCCUGAUAGGGAGGGUGAAGGGGCUGGGGAGAGGCCUGGGACCCCCCAGAGGAGAGGGAGCCCCUCAUUGCCCCCCACUGCCUGCUGCCCUCCCCCCCCCCCCCCCCCCCCCCCCCCCCGCCACUAUCUCAUACAAGCUGGAAAAAGGCAGGGGAACCCCCAGGAAGUCUGUAAAGGGUUAGGGUGUGUGCAAGGCUGCCCUCCCCUAAAGGCCAGCUGGUCCUUCCUGUGAGGAAAGACCCUACUGAUGAACAGAGCACAGCCCCAUGGGAAUGGAGGCCGGUGGCUUCGUGGCUGGACACGUCCUGCUGGGGGACAGAAACUCUGGUGGGGCCUGGCGAGGGGUCAGCUACGUGCCGCUUCCGGGCACACACACCGUCACAGACGCCGGAGGCUGGCCGUACACGCUCCCUGGAAGGACACCUGCCUCCUCCCGGACCAGGCCUCCCAGACCAGCUAGAGGAAGUGCCCGGUAAGCAGCUGCCGCAAGCCCUCCUUCACGGCUGUGUUUGGGUGUGUUUACACAUGUCGCUGUCAGGGUAUGUCUGGACAGGGUCUCUGGGGCCGGACUUCCCGGGGGCCUGGUCUCACACUGGUGGGAGGGCCCUCAGACAGGGGUACAGGCUGGGGUGUCAGGGUUUCCUCUGAUGAAAUCCAGCUGGCCCAGGCAGAGCCGCGACGGGCCGGCAAGGUCAGUAGUAAAACCCAGAGGAGGAGUCUGGGGCCAGGCUGACCCCAUCUUCAGGGCCGAACUCGAGUCCAACAAAGUUCCUCGGAGCACCAGUUACGGAGUUCAGGCAGGAGGGAAGGGCCCUGAGAUACAGCGGGGGAGGGGGGGUGGGGGGGGGGAAUGGCACCUGCCCCCUCCCACCCCAGGCUCCAGGGUGGACGGUACCUCAAAGCAAGCUUCCCUGCUGGGUUUCUUCACAUUCCCAAAGGUGGAAAAGCCCCAGCCGCUGCUAGUCGCCCCUUCCUACCUCUGCCCCAGCACCGGGCUCUGGGAAAGACCCUGCCUACGGCCUAUUCACACUGGCUUCUGACACACAAAAAACGAAGGCCUGGACGGCUGUCUGGCAAGGUCACAUGCCCAGCCCUCCUGUUCUCUUCCUGCUGUAAAGUUGUUGCUGGCCAAGCUCCACACUCACACCCCAGACCCAGCUGUCUGCGGUGGGCCCACCUCACCAACUUCCUCUUCUGAGCCACAGCCCACACCCCCUGUCCAGAGGCCAUUGGGACAUUUCUCCCAGCCAGAUGCCCGAGGCUGGAGGCUCCCUCCCUGGGCUGCCUCUGGUUAGAAACCAGGGCUGGGAAGGCACCAGAUCCGCCCGCUCCCCUCCUUCUUGUGCUGGCCUGUUUACCUGCAGCGUACAUGGACCAGAAAUAAAUUAAUUCCCUUCAAAGUUCCCAUAGAGCAGCUGGGGCCUGUGGCAAAGCCCUUUCCCCUUCCGUGCUCCGAGGCAAGCGGUGGGGCUGGCCAAGGCGCAGCCACAGGACCACCACUGGGGCCUGAUCGGAGCACGCCCGCCCACCGCCUCUUUUGUUAACAGGGCAGUAGACCCAUUUAAUUAAAAAUCAUUCAAUAGA